rnacentral:rRNA from 1 species
UACGUAGGAGGCAAGCGUUGUCCGGAUUUAUUGGGCGUAAAGAGCUCGUAGGUGGUUCGGUAAGUCGGAUGUGAAAUCUCCAGGCUCAACCUGGAGGGGUCAUUCGAUACUGCCGUGACUAGAGGUCGGUAGGGGAGUGUGGAAUUCCUGGUGGAGCGGUGAAAUGCGCAGAUAUCAGGAGGAACACCCGUAGCGAAGGCGGCACUCUGGGCCGAUACUGACACUGAGGAGCGAAAGCGUGGGGAGCGAACAGG